GCCAGGUGUGGUGGUACACACCUGUAAUUCCAGCUGCUCAGGAGACUGAGGCAGAAGGAUCAUGAGUUCAUGGCCAGCCUGGGCAACUUAGUGAGACUCUGUCUCAA
rnacentral:sRNA from 1 species